rnacentral:rRNA from 1 species
CGUUCCCGGGCCUUGUACACACCGCCCGUCACACCACGAAAGUGGGUAACACCCGAAGCCGGUGGCCCAACCCUUGUGGAGGGAGCCGUCGAAGGUGGGAUCCGCGAUUGGAGUG